ensembl:lncRNA ZFHX4-AS1 ZFHX4 antisense RNA 1
CAGAUUUCCUGGUGAACCUGCCUCUGUCUGAGUCAGUGUCAAUCCACCAUCUUCUGCCAGUGAACUUGUCUUUGGGUUUUUGUUUGGUGUGUGUGUGGGGGGGGAUGUUGUUGUGUGUGUGUGUAUGUGUGUGUGUGCUUUUUUUGGAAGGGGGGAGGGGAAAGACAAAGUGGGGGCCGGAGGUGGGGGGAAGAGUAGGGAGAAUGUGUGUCUGUGAGUGUGUGUUGAGUGUGAGUGUGUCUCUGUGUGUGUAGGGGUCGAGGUGGGGGGGGUCCGUGUUUGCGAUCUGAACCUUUGGUACCUACAAGGAGGGUGUCUCACCGAACGGUAGCUAAAACCUCACCAGAACCGCGCGGAAGUGAGAAGUCGCGGCCAAAGGCGCCCGCAGAAGCCUCCUCUCUGGGCCGGACCCCAGCCCGAGCGGCCGAAAGGAGCCCCCCGCCCGGAUCACAGAAGUUUACAAGGAAAGGGGAAAUGUCUGAAAUGGAGAUUGCACAAUCCUGUCUUGAAGCAGAAGACUCAGCUAGAGCACAUCUGGAAACACCUGGCACUCCUCAAUAGAAUUCAAAUGCUAUUUUAAAAGAGUCCAUUUCUAAGAAGAUGUGGUUCGAACAUACAGAGCUACAUAAUAUGAGUAAAAUAGGACCUAACAGUAGUGUUCUCCAGCAUUGCUCUGCCUUUCCUUUUCUGGAUGUAACAACAUUACUAAGAAAGGAAGAAAAAGCAAAAAUCUGCUCUCGGGGAGAUUCCAGAAUGUUGGAAAGCCCCAAAUGGAAGUCUCUGCUUUGGUUACAGGACAUAAGGUUUAAUAAAUAAAAAGAUGCUCAUCUGGGAUGCUGCACCAAUUAUCAUGUACUAAAUAAGGUUACCUACUUCACUCUCCAGGUAGAAAUGUCUAUCAUAAGCAUGUGCCACAGAAGGUCUCUCAAGUAUCAUUAUUGGCUGUGUUGAAUUUUGUUUUUAGUUCUCUUUUAUAAGGUCUGUAGUCUUACUUUCAGUGAGGAAGUGUUUUCUCAGGUUCUCAAGAAAGUAACAAAAUGCCAGCAUUGUCAAGGUCACCAUUGCCACUGAAUUAUCUUACUGUCUGAUUAUUCCAUCUUCCUCUGCAUCAUAUUAGCCUGAUGACUACAUUCUAAUUAUUUAAAGCGUUAUGUAAAUCAAAGCAGUAAAUGUAAUUUCUAGUCUUACUAGAUAUCAUGUACAUUAGGUCGAAUAACUCUAGAAAUGUCGUCAUAAUCAUGUCAUGCCUAAUGAUGACCUACUCAGCCCCUGCCAACAUCAUUCAAUUACUCAUUUCAGUAUUGAUUUUUCUCAUGCCUCUCUUCGUGGCAUUUAAACAGCCCUCACAUCUCCCCUUUUACUGAGGUGUAAUGUUGUAUAAUGACAGAGAUGCUUUGCUUCCCAGAUUCAUAAUGUUACACUCUGUUUCAAAUCCUUUUGGAGACAAAUUGGGGAAUCAAUAUAUAAAUAAUGACACACUUAUUUUUAAUUAAAAUCACUGCUUUCACAGAAAUGGUAUAUUAAAAUUAUUUUUGCUAAAAAAAUUUUAAAUACCUAUGUACGAUAAAAAGACUGCCAAUCCUUGGGAUCAAGAAUAUAAUUUGCCCCAAAUAACUUUUCUGUAAAAGUAGAAUUCUUAAUGGAAAAUAGAUUAAUACAUAUAAUUUCAAGAUCUAACCUUAAAAAUGGAAAUAAUGUGUCCAUUUUUAAAAAUAAAUCAUAUUUACAUACACUGU